GCAUGCGCGGUCUGCCUCCCGCGGCGGGCCGGGUCUCCAGAGAGGACCUGAUUUUUCUUCACCCAUGGUCAGGGAGGCGCAAUCGCCCUGGCUUUGGGGCUGGGGCCUCCGGGGAGGUUCCGGUAGGGGCGUUGGAGAGGCCGCUCUUUUUGCAAGGCCCGAGACGGCGGGCCCUGCGCAGGCCGCCCUAUUCCGCGCCCUCAGGCCGUCAGUAUCCGCCUGAGGCCGGAUACCCCCGCUGGGCCCGGAUGCCGUCGCUGGGCCCGGAGCAUCCUCGGCGCUGCCCUCGCAGAGCCCCGCAGAGGCUGAGGUGGCGCGGGGGGCGGGCCCGGCUCCGUGAGAAGCGGCGGCAGCGAGGGCUGGAGGACCCGGGCUACGGGGCUCUGGGGCCUCUGGCCUGGGUGGGACUGAGCCCAUCCAGGGACUGGGACUCCGGGGUUCUGGUGUAGGUGGAUCCGGGGCAGGCUCAGGACCAAGUCCCUCUCCUUCCACCAAGGAGCGCCCAGAGGCCGGCGGGAGCUCCAGGUUCACCUCCUCCUCCUCCAGGGUUAUUUCAAGUCCCAAAAAGCAAGGAUGAACAUCUAGAACGAGAAGAAAAACAGUCUGGAGGAAAUCCCACUUCCAGCUGGAUGUCUGGAUGAACUACUGAAAGCUGCUGAGUGUCUUGCAGCAAGUGAGCUGUGGCCAGAGCCCAAGGAUGAAGGGGGCUCCCUCACUCUGUGACUGUGAAGAGGAAGCCUGAGGUGUAGCAGGCCCAGGACCCAGAAGUAUGGAAAAAAUGAGCUUGACUACCACACAGAUGAAUCCACUCAAAUGUUGGCAAGUGGAGCAGAGUCCCAGGACAGUCUGCAAUCUCUACAGGUACAGAAACACUCCCAGUUCAAGGAUCUUCACACCUGGAUUUAGGCCUACUCCUGCAACUACCUCAGGAGGCGCUUGGAAACCACCGUGAAUUGGACUGCACUGGAAACACAGAUGAAGAAAGUCAACACCGCUUUGUCCUUCAGUGCCUGGCUCCUUUUUCAGCUUGUCUUGCGACUCCAGGCAUUGGAGUCCAGGGAGGGGCAAGCCGCAUGUACCGUGUGCUUCCCACGAUCUUGUCUCCUUAAUCCUCACUGCAGCUCUCUGCCAUAGGGUCUUAUACUGCUUUACAUGUGGGUAACUGAGGCUCAGAGAGUUUCACAGCAGGGCAGGGAGCCCAGAUGUGAAUCUGUAGAUACCAAGCUUUCUACUUUUUCAGUAGUUUCCAAGCAUCUUUUUUUUUCUUGUUUCGUCAUUGGUGUCUUUUUUUUUUUUUUUGAGACAAAGUCUCUGUCGCCGAGGCUGCGGUGCAGUGGUGCGAUCUCAGCUCACUGCAACCUCUGCGUCUCACAUUCAAGCAAUUCUCAUGCCUCAGCCUCCCGAGUAGCUGGGACUACAGGUGCCCACCACACCCAGCUUAUUUUUGUAUUUUUAGUAGAAACAGGGUUUCACCAUGUUGGCCAGGCUGGUCUUGAACUCCUGACCUCAGGUGAUCCACCCGCCUUGGCCUCCCAAAAUGCUGGGAUUACAGGCGGGAGGUAAACCUGGGAGGUGGAGGUUGCAGGGAGCUGAGAUUGUGCCACUGCACUCCAGCCUGGGUGACAGAGUGAGACUCUGUCUCAAAACAAAACAAAACAAAACAAAACAAAACAACAACAACAAAAAACAAAUUGUGGUUACGUAGAAAAAGUGUCAACUUACAUUUUCAGAUGUCCCAGCCAGGCCGUGUGGCUGCUUGGCCAGCUUAAGCCACUUGUGCUUGGGGAUGUCGGGGGCCUUAUCCAAUUUUCACUCCCCUUGGGGGAUGUUGUCUUACUCUGCUGGGAGGAUUUUUGUUCCCAGGGCAGAGACCAGCGCUCUAACCCACCCCUCUUGCCUAAUAGGGUCGGUGGACCUGGGUGUCUGUCUGGACACAUCCUCCAGUGACCUGGACCUGCCCAUGAAGGUGGUGGACAUGUUCAGGAGCUGUUUGCCUGCGUGUGCCGUGAACUUCAAGUGGGUCUUACUCUGUUGCCCACGCUGGAGUGCAGUGGUGAGAUCAGGGCUCACUGCAGCCUCCACCUCGUGGGCUCAAGCCAUCCUCCCACCUCAGCUUCCCGAGUAGCUGGGACUACAGGCGUGUGCAACCACAUCUGGCUAGUUUCUGUGCGGGGGCUGACAAAUGUCAGGUCUGAGGACAGUGGCUGACCCACUAUGGGGCCAGUUCCCCUUCUCUAUAGUCACCCUGCUCGUCUUCCAUUGACUGGGUGCUCAGGACAGUGGCGUGGUGGAUCCGCCUGUACAGCCUGUGCUCCAGCGUCCUGCAGGCCACAGCUGUGUCCAGCCCUGACCCCGACUGCCCCUCCCGCCACCUCCAUUUUAUAGAUGAGGAAACCGAGGCCCAAGGGCUUAGGGAACCCUGCUCUGAAGCUCACAGUAGGGCUGCUGGGCUCAGAUCCUCCCUCCCUGUGCUGAGCUGCCCUCCUCCUGCCGCAAGCCCCCCACGCCCCGAGCCCACCCUGCUCACUGGCCUCUGCCCUAGUUCCCCGCAUGGUGUGGGAGUGUGGGGCAUCCUAGCUUUUCCCCGGCCCCCAGUUCUUUCACUUCCACUGGAGUCCCGCAGGGACAGCUCGGGGAACAUGCAAGCCCGGGUGGGCGUGGGGGCUCACAAAGCUCGGUGGUGAACAGCUGGCACGUCUCUGGGUUGCGGAUGGUAAGGGCCAUGUAGACUUGAGGAGCCCGCUGGUGCUCACGGCAGGCAGCCAGCCUCCGCAGGACCCUGACCAGCGACACGAUGGCUUCUGGGCAAUACAGCACGUCUACGGUGAAAGCUUCAGGUUACUGAAAGGGACCAGCGGACAGUUCCAGGUCAUGCUGACCUCAGCAGAAGGGCGAGGCCAGAGAGGCAGCGGUCAUAUGAGACUAGUAGAUGCCAUUUGAUCAUUUGGGCCAUUAGGUGGAAAGGCAAUUACUUGGGUGAAAAAAGAGAACCCUUAGUAGAGAAAGCUGCAAAAGACGGAAGCAAAAGAAAAAAAUCUCCAGACUCACUGGUGUUCCUUAAAAAACGAGCUCUGGUUCUCGGCCUAUCUAGAGGGUUGUGAAUGACACAAAGCCUGACCCUGCGAUGAACUUCGUGUUUCAGGCGUCUGCGGAUUUGUCUGCUGGCUUGCAGUGGUGGGCCUGUGUCCCUGGCCACUGCUGGACCUGUGGUUUUCAGGGCUGGGACCCAGGACCACAGGCAGAGCUCUGUUCCACCAGAGAGGAGACUGAGUGUGCUGGCAGGGGCGAGGGGUUUUCGGUGGCCCUGCCAAACACCACCUUCUCUCAAGGGCCCUGUCCUCAUCCCAGAAGUGGUUGUUUUCCUCCUGUGGUCUCUGAAAGACACAGGCAUGGCUCUGGGACAGAGCCAUGUGGUGACGACUGUAACGGGAGUAUGCCUGUCUCCAACAAGAGGGCUGUGGCUUGAAGGUCAGCUUAAGAGGCACCCCUGUCCUUUGAUGUCACCCUGGAGGCCCAGAGUAACUCUUCUGGAAGUCCCAUCAUGUCCAUGCCCGACAGCGUCCAUUGUUCCCUUUUCCCAGAGCCAAGAGCUGGUUAGAGCUGCAAGGACACCGCCUGCACAGGAUGCCCGGGGCUGGGUAUUACCUGCUGCAAUGACAACAUCUGGCUGGAUGGCAGAGAGCUGAUGGACCGUCGCGGCGUCCCAGUCCAGCUGGGCCACUGUCACCCUGGGGCUGUAUAAGUUGGCAGUGAUAUCUGCCCCUAAUGAGAGGCCAUUGAGAAGGACAUUCCCUCAGAGCUGCUCGAGGACCCGGCUGUGACAGUUACUGAAGAUGUAUGCCCGGGGGUGGCACAUCUUGCAGAUGGCCAGGCCUGUGAGGCUGGCACCACUGCCAAGCUCUAGGACAGUCCUGGUGGGAGGAAAGGGGAUCAUGUCUGUGACUGCACCAGGGUAAGCCUGCCUCGGUGCCCUGCCCUGUGCCCCGAGGUCACCUAUCAGUGAAGGCUGCUGGGUUCUCGAUGGCCCAUUCUGCAAGGUAGAGGGUGGCAUCCCAUGUGACCAGGACUGUGAUGUCGUGGAAGAUGAUGGCUGUGCUCUUGGAGAGUGUGACUGAGCCUCCCGAGGGCAGCACCAAGAGAAGGCGAGAGAGUCAUUCCAGCGAUCAGAAGGCAAGUGGCUUAGAAGACAAGCAGCCAUCCACCACAUGGCUGAAUAAACCAUGACAGGACCAAUCGCCACUCAGCAAUGAGAAGCAGCUAACUGUUGACAUGCCAACAGCUUGCACAGGCCUCAAGGGUGUCACGUGGCAUGAAAGACACUCAUCUCAGGCCACACAGGAUUCCAUUCAUUGAACAUUCCUGAGACAAUGGAAUUCUGGCGAUAGAGCACAGGUCAAUUGUGGCCAGGGGCCGGGUGUGGCUAUGAAGGGGUGGCUGCCUUGUGAUGAUUCAAUAUGCUAUGUUUUUCCUUUGUGGUUUUCUGUA